UACCCUGGUAGUCCACGCCGUAAACGAUGAGUGCUAAGUGUUAGAGGGUUUCCGCCCUUCAGUGCUGCAGCUAACGCAUUAAGCACUCCGCCUGGGGAGUACGGCCGCAAGGCUGAAACUCAAAGGAAUUGACGGGGGCCCGCACAAGCGGUGGAGCAUGUGGUUUAAUUCGAAGCAACGCGAAGAACCUUACCAGGUCUUGACAUCCUCUGCCAACCCUAGAGAUAGGGCGUUCCCCUUCGGGGGACAGAGUGACAGGUGGUGCAUGGUUGUCGUCAGCUCGUGUCGUGAGAUGUUGGGUUAAGUCCCGCAACGAGCGCAACCCUUGAUCUUAGUUGCCAGCAUUCAGUUGGGCACUCUAAGGUGACUGCCGGUGACAAACCGGAGGAAGGUGGGGAUGACGUCAAAUCAUCAUGCCCCUUAUGACCUGGGCUACACACGUGCUACAAUGGAUGGUACAAAGAGCUGCGAACCCGCGAGGGUAAGCCAAUCUCAUAAAAGCCAUUCUCAGUUCGGA
rnacentral:rRNA from 1 species